rnacentral:rRNA from 1 species
CCUACGGGCGGCUGCAGUGGGGAAUAUUGGACAAUGGGGGGAACCCUGAUCCAGCCAUGCCGCGUGUGUGAAGAAGGCCCUCGGGUUGUAAAGCACUUUCAGUGAGGAAGAACGCCUGGUGGUUAAUACCCAUCAGGAAGGACAUCACUCACAGAAGAAGCACCGGCUAACUCCGUGCCAGCAGCCGCGGUAAUACGGAGGGUGCGAGCGUUAAUCGGAAUUACUGGGCGUAAAGCGCGCGUAGGUGGCUUGAUAAGCCGGGUGUGAAAGCCCCGGGCUCAACCUGGGAACGGCAUCCGGAACUGUCAAGCUAGAGUGCAGGAGAGGAAGGUAGAAUUCCCGGUGUAGCGGUGAAAUGCGUAGAGAUCGGGAGGAAUACCAGUGGCGAAGGCGGCCUUCUGGACUGACACUGACACUGAGGUGCGAAAGCGUGGGUAGCAAACAGGAUUAGAUACCCCAGUAGUC